ensembl:lncRNA
CGCGUGCGCUCAUUUGUGAGAGAGUGUGGGAGUGUGUGUGUGUGUGAGUGAGAGGGCGUGGAUGGUGAGAGGGGCUGCGAGUGUGUGAGACUGUGCGUGUGAGACUGUAUGUGAGAGACUGAGCGAGAGUGUGAGAGACUGUGUGUGAGAGACCGUGAGUGUGAGGCCGUGUGUGAGAGACCGUGUGUGAGAGACCGUGUGUGAGAGACCGUGUGUGUGAGAGGCUGUGUGUGAGAGACCGUGUGUGUGAGAGGCCGUGAGUGUGGGAGGCUGUGUGUGGGAGAGAGUGGGCUGGCGAGGGAGAGGAGAGCGUGUGUGUGGGGCGUGAGAAGCGCGCGCACACUGUCGCGCUCUCGUGGGUCCGCGGCCGCCUGGCCCCGGGGCUGUGGGGCGCGCGCCUGUCCCGAGCCGCCGGCCGGCCUGUGCGCGUCACCGCCCCUGUCCCGGGCCCCUCGGAGGCUCCGCGCGUGCUGCCUGGCGGGGUUGGUUGGUGCAGCCUUGGGAGCGUCCGGUGGGGUGUCUGCCUUUGUGUGUGUUUCAAUAACUGGUUUAGCCCUGAGCUAAUAUCUGCCACCAAUCCUCCUCUUUCUGCGGCAGAAGAUUGGCCCUGAGGUAACAUCUGUGCCCAUCUUUCUCUAUUUUACAUGUGGGACGCCUGCCACAGCAUGGCUUGAUAAGUGAGUAAGUCUGCGCCCAGGAUCCAAACUGGCAAACCCCGGGCUGCUGAAGUGGAGUGCGUGAACUUAACUGCUGCACUACCGGGCUGGCCCCCUUACUAGUGUCUUUUUGAUAUUGCCAUCCUAGUAGGUGUGAGUAGGUGUGAUCUGCUAGUAGGUGUGAUCUACCGAUCAUUGUGGUUUUGAUAUGCAUUUCUUUAAUGACUAGUGAUAAUGAGCCUUUUUUCAUGUGCUUUUUGGCCAUUUGUAUAUCUUCUUUAGAGAAACCUCUGUUCAAUCCUUCCCCUAGUUUUAAUUUUGGGUUAUUUGCUUUUUGUUGUUGUUGAUUUGUAAAAGUUCUUUAUGUAUUCUGGAUACAAGUUGCUUAUCAGAUAUAUGAUUGACAAAUAUUUUCUCCCAUUUUGUGGGCUGUCUUUUACUUUCUUGAUGUCCUUUGAAGUACAAAGGUUUUGAAUUUUGAUGAAAUCCAACUUAUCUAUUUUUUAUUUUGUCACUUGUGCUUUUGUUGUCAGAUCUAAGAAAACAUUGCCUAAUCCAAAGUCAUGAAGAUUUACUCCUAUCUUUUUUCCUAAGGGUUUUAUAGUUUUAGUUCUUACAUUUAAAUCUAUGAUCCAUUUAGAAUGAAUUUUUGCAUAUAAUAUGAGGUAGGAGUCCAAAUUCAUUCUGUUGUAUGUGGAUAUUCAGUUGUCCCAGUAUCAUUUAUUGAAGAAAUGUUCUUUCCCCAUUGAAUGAUCUUGGCACCUAUGUCAAAAAUCAAUUAACCUAAGUUUAAUGGUUUAUUUCUGGCUUUCAAUUCUUUGCCAUUGGUCUGUAUCUCUAUCCUUAUGCUACUACCAUGUUGUCUUGAUUACUAUAGCUUUGAAGUAAAUUUUGAAAUCAGGAAGUGAAUCUUCCAGCUUAGUUCUUUUUCAAGAGUUCUUUGACUAUUCUGGAUCCUUCACAUUUCCAUAUGAAUUUUAGGAUCAUUUUGUCAAUUUCUGCAAAAAAAAAAAGAAGAAAAAAGAUAGCUGGUGUCAACGAAAAUAAUCCAUAACCAAUCUAUAAAUGAAAAUUUGAGUGAGUUUAUUCUGAGCUUAAAUUUGAGGAUUAUAACCCGGGAGAGUCUUUCCACAAAGGAACAGAGCACUCCAAAGAAGUGGGGGUAUACAGGGUGGUUAUAUACCCUCAAAGAGUAUGUUUCACAUAUGAUUGAAAUGUCCCUUUUACAAUAGUCACAAGGCUGCUCUGUCACCACAGCGCUUGAUGGAAGCAGCAGAUAGGCUUGCUGUCUCAGUGAACCCUGCAGGCUGGCAGGUCUGUUGCCUCGAGCUAGGUGGUCACAGAUGAGUGCUGCAAUCAGUUCCCAGCCUAAAGAAAGAUGCUUAAUCUUUAAGGAGAUGCCAACGUUGGGAGGGGGAGGGAAGUUGCACCUUUAUCUCAAAAUGUCUAAGCAGAUAUACAAUGCAUGCUCAAUGGCCACAGUCAGGCCCUUUUGGAAAAAACAAAGUCAGGCCGAAUUAGGUUUAUACCAAAUGGCUUCCUCAUAUACUCCAAUAUAUCCUAUUGCUUGCCAUUUUUAUUUGUCACUGGGAAUUCUCAAUAUUUGCUAAGGCAUAGUUUGUUAUAAAAACUAGGCACCACAGAGACUACAGAGAUGAAACCCAGUCCUCAAUCUUAAGAGACCCAAUAAUCUUGGAAUUAUACAGAUGUAUCGAUUAUCAACUUAUUACCUCUCAGCUCCAAAUUUGUUCUUUAAUAUAUGCUCUUCAAUAAUGGACAGAAUUCUUUUAAGUACCUCCCCUUUACAGUGAGCAUGAUGCCAAGUUUUCUCAGUAGAGGCUGUUAGAAGGGUCCCUCCUGGUAUUUCCAGCUGGUGGAGCAGGUGAGGACAUCUGGUGGAGCUGUGCUUCAGCCACAUGCCGGGAAGAUGACCUUGCAGCCUCAGCGUGGACUGGCAAUAAGCUUGCCACAGCACCCUCCUCCUUGACAUAAAAACUCAUUUCUCUAAAGCCUCCUGCCCACGUCAGUGUCCUAAUUCCCUCUGCAGACCCGCAUAUGGAUUAUCAGGAGCCUGGAGUGUUUUCACUGAGCCAUUACUUCCUCUUCUGGCCUCUGUGGCCUGCCUGCUCCCAGGGCCCCAAUCUCCCGUGCACACCCAUAUCUCUGGUUGCUGAUCAGCUAUCCUUGGCCUGCACUCUAGAGGGAUGCCUCUUGCUCUCCCAGUGGCCCCAGUCAGACCCGUGAACGUUUUUUGUUAUCUAGUAGGCUGAACUAUACCUUCUCCAAUGAGAUCUAAACUCCAGCCUUGGGGAAGGGAAACCCUUCCAACUUUGUUCUUCCUUGGCUACUCUCCCUCAGCCCUAGGUACCAUGCAGUUUCCUUAUUCUUGUUUCUACACACUUGUUUAUAAGAAUUUAAUAAUUCUUUAUAUUACACAUCCUCUGUCAAACCCACUGUGUGAUUGGGCCUACACAAGUACGACAAAUAACAUUUGCAAGUCAGAAUAUGGUAAGCAGUGUCUUCAGAGAUCUGAAUGUGAGAGAAGGAUGUGGAGCUCACAGUCUGUUGAUGGCAUCAGGAAAGAUUUAAUGAGGGAGUGCAAUUUGAGAGGAACUUUGAAGGAUGGUUAAGGAUUUCCUUUGAAUUUGCCAUUGGGGAGCUCGUAUUUUUUAAGAUGAUUACCUCAGAUUUCCAUUUCAAGAGUAAAGACAUUUACAAACUGAAUUGCAUUAUUUUUCCCAAACAGCUGUCCUUUACUCCUAUUGACAAGUUCACCCUGGGUUUUCCUACAGGUCUGGAUGGAGUUGGUAAAGGUGUUAGAGACAAAUGGAAGAGAUACCUGGGCUAGAGUGGGUUCCUGACCCCCAAAUAGGAGGUUUUUAAGUGGCAUCGUCUCGUUGGAAUUACUCAACCAAGUGUUUAAAAGAAAGGCUUUGAUGGAAGGUUUAGUAUGGUUAGAAAGGAACACCCACAGCCAUAUGUACCAAUUAAUUUCCUCUCCAAAUGUUUUUAAACUGUUGGGUAGAUAUGGCCUAUGUUUUGGAAGGAUUCUUUCCUUUGAAGUAGUCAUUACAGUGUUUUAUUUCCUAUAUGAAUGCCAAGUACACAUUACUUUUCAUUUCCCUUUUUGCUUGCCAAAGCCUUGUAAUUUUGUUUCAUCUCUUCGCAAAUAUCUAAUAAAUAAUUAUGAUUUGUAGAGCUAUUCAAAGCAUGGUCCUUGGACCAGCAGACCCAUCGUCAUUUGGGAGCUUAUUAUAAAAGCAAAUUCUUGGGCCCCACUUCAGACUCGCUGAAUCCGAAUCUCAAGGGGGCGGGGACCUGAAUCUGUGUUUUAACUAGCUCGCCAGGAGAUUUUUAUGCACAUUGAAGUUUGAGAAGCACCAAUUAAAAUUUUACUUACUGUAUUUCACUUGAGACACACUCUAGAGUUUAAAAGGAUCUAGAUUCCUGAAAACAAUUGAUCAGUUCCAAUCAGGAGUCUGUGUCUCCAACAUCCCUGAGAGAUUGGCAUCUAACUUCUGCCUGCGAUUUUCUAUUGAUGAGAGACCACCUCACAAGGUGACAACAUUUGGGAACAAUCCUAUGAUUAGAAUUUUCUCUUAUUAUGCAGUUAACUCAAGUUGACUUAAUUGUACCUUUUACCUUUUGCUCAUUGUUCCUAAUGCUGCUCAUGAGGAGCAUGAAAUCAACCUGAUUUCCUUUACAUAGCCCAGAUGUUUAGAUAUUUGAGGCAGUGGUCUGCUCUCUCCUAAGAAUUUUCUUGCCAAGAAAGGACAUUCUUAGUCCCUUUAAUUUCCUCACCUGAUGAUGUCUUUUGACUCCUUCCCUCUUAGAAUGACUUAUAUAUCAAUAUUCUGCUUAAAAUGCCACCUCUAGAAUCAAAUAUAAAACGUUCCAUGGAGUUUGUCCAAUGAAGGCUAUUACAGGACUGUUCUAUCUACUGUAGAUAGUAAACCAAAUCUCUCCUAGGCUUUAGAAAGUUGAAUUCCAAGCCUGAUUUUGUCACAAUGGAUUUGGACAGAUCACUCAAUUUCUGUGGAUUUAGUUUUAUUUAACUAUAAAAAUUGAGAUUACCUUAUGGCACCUGAACCUGGGGAAAUACUAAUGUUUAGGGAGUAGCCAUGGCCAGUAGAGCUAUUCAAAAGAAUUGAAAUGGAGUUGUUAAAAAGGCAGAAAGGGAGCCAGUAGAAAGUGCUGACACAGGUAUUUGAUUCCCUCUCUUAACAGGCAUGUCCUAUGGGCUCAGCUUGGACAAGUCGUAGAGCCUGGACUGGGCUCCAAGGCAGGAUGUUUCUUACCCAAGGGACCAGAGUUCUCCACAGGGAGUCAGUGGGUAAUGAGCAGAAGCAGUGUUCUGAUGGAGAGCAAGGUUAGAGUGAGGAUGCAGGCCAAAGCUGGUCAUGUAGCCCUGCGUGGAAAGAGGUUGUAGGUGAAAAAGGAGAGAUGACUCGCAUCAACAGCAAUAUGCUGUGCUAUUCUUGUCUUUCCAUGCUUGUUUCCAAGAUAUGCUGGAUGCCUUUAAAGAGCAGAAGAGGAGUGAAGGGGUGAAGCCCAGGAGGACAAAAUUCCAAAAAGUGAUUGUCAGCGUCAAAUGAUACAGAAAAGUUAAAAAAACAAAACAACCCAGGGCAGAAAGAUAUUUAACUAGAUAGGAAGAUUUUGUUGCAAGUAACAGAAAAUUGAAUUUAAACUGGCUAAAAACAAGGUUUAUUUGUUCACACACCAUCUACAAGAAUGGCUUCAGCGGGGCUCUGGAUCUUUCUCUGAGAUUCUCCAGGCUUUGCUGUCCUCCUUGUGUUAGGUUUAUCCUCAGGCUGAAUUUUCUCAUGACUUCUGGAGGCCACUGGGUCACUUCCUGGGAAAGAGAGCAUCUAGUUUUCAUAACCACUAACUGAAUGUCCUGACCUUUGCCUUGACCGGAUCACUUCUAGCCCAGCAAUGUAGCUAAGGGGAAUGCCUUGCACUGUAGAAAGAGAGGUGGGAUAAUUGAUUUUGUUAAUCUCUCCCAAAUCCUGUGACUGAACAGUGGGAGAAGAGUGGUUCACCAUUUGAGAAAACUACAGCUCCAGGCUUCCAUUGUCCUCAUGCCUAGUGACCCCAGCAAAAAGAAUAUCUGUCUUUCUUGCUCCUUCUAGCGAAGGUUCCAGGGAGGCCUCUGGAUGGGCUCAUCUGCCUUUCCUGAACCAAUCUCAGGGGACGGGGAGGUGAAGGACACUAAUUUGACAGCCAGAGUUGUGUGUUUGCAGCUGUAUGGAGAUGAAAAGGGUCAGCACCACCCAAACCACAUAGAAUGAAUUCCCCAGAGCUGAUAUCUCAUUGUGGUUUUAUGUUGUGUUUCCUUAAUGACAAUGAUGUUGCACAUCUCUUCAGGAGCCGAUUAGCCAUUCAUAUGUCUUCUUUGGGAAAUGUCUAUUCAUAUCUUCUGCCCACUUUUUAAUUGGGUAGUUUGUCUUACGAUUAUUGAGUUAUAAGCAUUCUUUAUAUAGUCUGAAUGCAAAUACUUUACCAGAUGUAUUAUUUGCAAAUAUGUUCUCAUAUCUGUAUCUUGUCUUUUUAUUUUCUUAGGACUUUCAGGUUGUGAAAUGGAAAAAAAAAAUGUAAUGGACCCAAUAUUAGGUGAAGAAGAUACUGAAUCUUCUAAUAAUUUUAUUCUUUUAAAUCCUCAAACACAAACUUUAGAGCUUCUGGGUAAUAAUGCAGACUGAAUUUGCAAACCAGAAUUAAAGUUUACUCCCUAGAGGAUGAACUAUAACACAAGAACCUUUUGUAAGAAUAUAUUUUGAUAUAAGACUAGUGGUUUACAGCUAACCAGCUUGCAGGGGCCACAGGUUAGAGAUGCUGAUUUGUAGCAUUUCCAAUUUCCACAGUGUAAAUUCUUGCCCUCAGACUAUGUCAAGAUACUAAUGCUUUAACCACCAGCUCACAAAAUUUCUAAAUAUUUAGCUAUUGACUCUAGAGAGCCAGAAUGAGCUAGCUCAAGUACACUACUGAAAAUCCAUGAUUGGAUGAUUGGACUGGUAAUAAGGAGUCUUGAAAAGAAGCUCCUUUUUUUUUUUUUUUAAAAAAAAAGGCAACUGCUUUGGAGGAAUUUGCAGAUUACCAAGAAAGAAGUCACUGAUCCUUCACUUAAGAAUGAAAGGAAGAAGUCAAUGAAGAGAUGUGUGGUGAGCCAUGUUGUGAAAGUAAUGAGGAUCAAGGCUGCCCCAGGGAGAAGGCCAAGGCGUCCUGCCCUACACACUGAUCUAUAUCAUCCUCGGGGAAGCAUAGGACGUCCUGACUUAAUCUGACCUCAUUCUUAUCUAAAGUUAUCGGACCACCCAAUAACCACACCCCACCUGCACUGAUACCAUUUUAACGAUUUUUUUCAUGAUCCUUCCUUUGUCUUGUAAAGAAAUAACUCACAUACCUAUGCCUUAUAAAUUUAGCCCUAACCCUCAACACACUGCAGCCCUUCACUGCCCGUGGGUCCUGUCCCCAUGCUACUCCAUGCUAUUCUCUGAAUAAAGGAGCGCUACUGCCAGACCUUGAGAGUCCAAGAAAUCUUCCUUCCGACUCCUCAGCUUGCCGAGCCCGCAUCAUUAGGACAACAGUACUAGAUGAAUGAGGCCAGAUCCCACUUAUGCUUUUAGGAUUUUUAUAAUUUAUAAAUUCUAUUCACUUCUAUGAAUCCCCAGGCCUGCUCUCCAAGGCUACUCAGCCCCACUCUGCUAGCUGCCUUCCCUGAUAAGAAAUGCUGGAUUUCUAAAUAAUGUGCUCAUAGUGCUGCUUCUCAGUUUGUCUUUAGGGACUUAGUUUUCUCUCGGUAUCAGUCAGUGUUCAGUUCAGGAAGCUGCAAUCGUUCUAGGGGUUGAGGGCAGGGAGUCAGGUGAUUACCAAAGUGUGAGCGGGGGGUGGGGCAGGCAACAGUAGAGUGGGAGGCAAAGGCCAUCACAGGACUAUUGGAUUCAAUGGCAUACCCGGAGAGCGUGGGACACACCCAUGGAGUCCAGAAUAGACCCUGGAAUGUGAAGCAGGGAAUUCCUGAGGAACACUUUUCAGAGACGAAUCGACUCACUGCGGUUGCACCUUAUCCAUUGACCAGUGAAUCAGAGGCAGAAAUGAGCAAAAAUGGGUGUCCUCUGAAAGAAGUGUGGAAGCAUAAAAGAAAUCAUAACUAAAUUGGAGUCGAGAAGGCCUGUAGGGGGAGGUCUCAUGCCCUACCACAUAUGGUCAAUUACACCAAACAGGAAGAAACCCAGGGCUUGCAUCUUGGACAGGAAGUAAAACUAUUUUACUAUUGAAUGAAGACUUCUCUCCCCACCUGGCAACAGCCCAGCCAAAGAGGAACACAGCAGCUCAGCCAAUGAGAAGCCAUUGCUGCUGAGAACUGUUACUUUCCCCCAAUGGACUUUCUUUUAGAAGCCCCCUCCCUACGCUCCUUUUUCUCUCUAAAGGCAGCUUGCCUUCCUUGUUUGUUGGAUUUGCCUAUGGUUUGCCAUAGCAUGCACAUCCCAAAUUGCAAUUCUUUUGGCUAUUCCUGAGGAAAUUCGGUUUGAGGCUUUUCAAGUCAACGGAAGCAACUGAGACGGCAAUUUCUCGUGAUUUUACAACCCCCAUAUAUCAGUUCCUCAUGAGGCCAAUUACAUGAGGUUGUGGGUUUGGUGCAGUAAUCCUGGAUCCUUAUAUUAAGUUGCACUUCUCUACUUACACAGAUUUGAGUGGCUUUUUGUUCAUCACAACAGAAGGAGCGUUGGCUAAACCAGGAGACAAUGGAUCUGGGCUCUAAUUUUAUAUAAGAGGAUAUUUGUUGAGGAAUUCUGUUUAACAGUGGGGAACUGGGAGCAGUUUAAACGCACCAAACAGGCAAAGGUUCAGUAAGUGAUGGUGCGGUCAUACACUGGAAUGGCAUCAGCCAUUAAAAAGCCUAUUUUCAGAGACAUUAAAGAUUGGGAAAAUGUACAUGACAUUCUUUAGGACGAAGGAGUCUUGUGCUUAGUCAUCUCUUCCUCUGAGGUUGUAAUUUCUAUUAUGUCUCACUUCUUGCCAUUUCCCUUGAUUUGCUUGAAACACAAUUCAUAGGCACUCACAUAGAUGAGACGUCAUCAAACAUGCAGGGGUAUAAUGGCAAGGGGUUUGCAUCACAGGCUAGUGGGACACAUCAUGGCAACAAUGUAAAACUGCAUGUUAGACAGUCUUGUUCUUGUCCCUCAGGAAUUCCCAACACUGGGAACUUCUCAAUGGCAUUGCUCUCCCAGGUCCUAGCCUUUCUGAUCUUGAUGGAACCUUUCUCUUUCUCACCAGUCUUUGCUUACUCCUGCUCCUGGCUCCUUCAGUCUUCUCUUAGGCUCCUACAUUGUCCAUGGAAUUUCAAAAUCCUUUGACUUAUUGCAAAGCAAUCUAAUUUUGUCAUUCUUCUGCUUUCCAUACUAUGUCCUGGGACCUAUCAC